rnacentral:rRNA from 1 species
AAGCUUCAGGAAACUGGAGUGUGCCUCUUGAGGAACCCGGUGACAGGUGCUGCAUGGCUGUCGUCAGCUCGUGUCGUGAGAUGUUGGGUUAAGUCCCGCAACGAGCGCAACCCUUGUCUUUAGUUGCCAUCAUUAAGUUGGGCACUCUAAAGAGACUGCCGGUGUCAAACCGGAGGAAGGUGGGGAUGACGUCAAGUCCUCAUGGCCUUUAUGACCAGGGCUACACACGUACUACAAUGGCAUAGACAAAGGGCAGCGACAUCGCGAGGUGAAGCGAAUCCCAUAAACUAUGUCUCAGUCCGGAUUGGAGUCUGCAACUCGACUCCAUGAAGUUGGAAUCGCUAGUAAUCGUAGAUCAGCAUGCUACGGUGAAUACGUUCCCGGGCCUUGUACACACCGCCCGUCACACCACGGGAGUUGGUUGUACCAGAAGCAGUUGAGCAAACUUUUCGGAGAUGCAGGCUGCCAAGGUAUGAUUGGUAACUGGGGUGAAGUCGUAACAAGGUA